GAUCUCGGUUCUCAAAAUUCUAUCCAACUCGCUUUUCUCGCGUUCGGUUCAAAUUCAAAUUUCUCUCUUGCAUCCUUCUGCGAUUAUCUCCAAAGGGAUCAACAGGUAGAGAAGAGAAAUGGGACUGGCAUUCACAAAGCUUUUCAGCCGACUUUUUGCCAAGAAGGAGAUGCGAAUUUUGAUGGUGGGCCUUGAUGUAGCUGGUAAGACUACUAUCUUGUACAAGCUCAAGCUUGGAGAGAUUAUCACCACUAUUCCCACCAUCGGAUUUAAUAUG